UUCAAACCCGCGCAUCUACGAAAGUUUCAAAACUGUUUACGAUAAAUUUAUCAUUCAUCAUAACUCAAUGCCGUGAGAUUUUCGACGUUAUUUAUAUAAAGAACUCCGCGAGUAUUUGUAGUAGAAAUACGAAAAUACCACCAAAAAAUUCCGCUUGAAAGAUACUAUACACUCGAACAAUGUUAAAUAGCCAUAAGAUAUAAACUAGCCAUACUCGAACAAUGUAAGAUAGUCAUACCAUACGUAUAUACAAUACACUUUGAACAAUGUAAACAUUGAAAUAUGUAGGACGAUGGGUCACUAAGCCAUACGUUUCGCCGAAU